GGUGUGUGUGCAUUCGUGGAGAUGGCCAGGAGAAACUCUCAUGGAGCUCAAACCCUAGCUUGCUCAAGAUCAUCAAAUUAAAGCUCGAUUCAAGCCCUAAAUCAAUGCAUGAACACAUAAAAAUGAUCACCUAGUCAUGGGGAUUAUAAGUUUGAUGCUUAACAAGCUAGAUGGAAGCUUGGGAAGGAAGCGAGUCAAACGGAUUGAGCACGGGGAAGAGAAUAACCGGAUGCAAGGUAAGUAA
rnacentral:lncRNA from 1 species